GUAGUGAUGGCGGGUCUGCGGGGGUGGAGGGGGGGAGUUGUAAGCUGGGUGUGGGUAAGUUCCCCAGCUGUGCCUGCACCCGCCCGCGCCGCCGGAGACUGGUAUGGAGAACUCGUGGCCAGUCCGCUGGUCGUGCGCGUGGCAGACGGGGGAGCGUCACUGUGCUCGCUGAUGCUGCCUCACUCUGACGCGCCACCACCCGCCGCCUCGAGGCUCAGAGUGACUUCCGCUAAGACAAAAUUAUUAGUGUUGAGAGGUGCCUGAAAAAAGUGACUAUAGAGGGCAAGACGUGCAGGUGUCAUGAGCCACGACACUGAGCAGCAAGCGAGUCAGCGGCGUCUGUGGACAACCCAUUGACAGUGAGCAGUGUUCGCGCCCUCGGCAAGGCAACAGUCCCCUGGUGGCCGCAGUGCAAUGUCGGUGUGGCGUCGAUUAGUGGUGUCUCAAGUUAUCGUGUGGUGAGGAGAGAAAGUGAAAUUAAUUCAUUAGAACCAAUAAGAUGUAAUAAUACCUUUCCUAAUGCUAUGCACGGAAGUAAUACGUGAAAGAAAAUAAGAGAGAGAGAGAGAGAGAGAGAGAGAGAAAGAAAGAAA